GACGAACGCUGGCGGCGUGCUUAACACAUGCCAGUCGAACGGAAAGGCCCUGCUUUUGUGGGGUGCUCGAGUGGCGAACGGGUGAGUAACACGUGAGUAACCUGCCCUUGACUUUGGGAUAACUUCAGGAAACUGGGGCUAAUACCGGAUAGGAGCUCCUGCUGCAUGGUGGGGGUUGGAAAGUUUCGGCGGUUGGGGAUGGACUCGCGGCUUAUCAGCUUGUUGGUGGGGUAGUGGCUUACCAAGGCUUUGACGGGUAGCCGGCCUGAGAGGGUGACCGGCCACAUUGGGACUGAGAUACGGCGCAGACUCCUACGGGAGGCAGCAGUGGGGAAUAUUGCACAAUGGGCGGAAGCCUGAUGCAGCAACGCCGCGGGCGGGAUGACGGCCUUCGGGUUGUAAACCGCUUUCGCCUGUGACGAAGCGUGAGUGACGGUAAUGGGUAAAGAAGCACCGGCUAACUACGUG
rnacentral:rRNA from 1 species